GGUCAAGCUACUAAGGGCGUGUGUGUGGAUGCCUUGGCGCAAGUAGGCGAUGAAGGACGUGGUCAGCUGCGAUAAGCCUCGGGGAGCCGCUAACAGGCUGUGAUCCGGGGAUUUCCGAAUGGGGAAACCCAACCGGUGCGAACACCGGUUACGCGCAUCCCAAUACAUAAGGUGCGCGAGCGAACUCGGGGAAGUGAACCAUCUCAGUACCCGAAGGAAGAGAAAACAACCGUGAUUCCGAAAGUAGUGGCGAGCGAACUCGGAAGAGCCUAAACCGGGCGAUUCGAAAGGAGAGCCCGGGGUUGCAGGACCACAAUAAUCCGCGGGAUCCUCCAGCGAUGGAGGUUCCGGCAGGUUAAACGAGGGACAGGAAAGUGUUAAUCGAACGGUCUGGAAAGGCCGGCCAUAGAGCGUGACAGCCGCGUAGGUGAAAAUGCAAUCCUCCUUCCAGUGGCUCCUAAGUAGAGCGGGGCACGUGAAACCCUGCUUGAAUCUGCCGGGACCAUCCGGUAAGGCUAAAUACUCACUUGCGACCGAUAGUGAACCAGUACCGUGAGGGAAAGGUGAAAAGAACCCCUGCGAGGGGAGUGAAAUAGUACCUGAAACCACACGCUUACAAGCAGUGGGAGGGCUAUGGCUGUGGGCGCAAGCUCGCGGCAAUGCCUGACCUCGUGCCUAUUGCAUAAUGAGCUGGCUAGUUAUUCUCAGUGGCAAGGUUAAGCGCAAGCGAGCCGUAGCGAAAGCGAGUCUGAACAGGGCGAUGCAGUCGCUGGGAAUAGACGCGAAGCGGGAUGAUCUACCCUUGGCCAGGAUGAAGGCCGUGUAACAGCGGCUGGAGGUCCGAACCAGUGUUGGUUGAAAACAGCUUGGAUGAGCUGAGGGUAGGGGUGAAAGGCUAAUCAAAUUCCGUGAUAGCUCGUUCUCUCCGAAAUAGCUUUAGGGCUAGCCUCUCGUGGUCCGUCGCGGUGGUAGAGAACUGAUUGGACUAGGGGCCUUCCCAGGUUACCGAAUCCAACCAAACUGCGAAUGCCGUGAAUGUGUAGCGAGGGAGUCAGACAGUGGGGGCUAAGCUUCAUUGUCGAAAGGGAAACAGCCCAGACCGUCAACUAAGGUCCCCAAAUCCAUGCUCAGUGGGAAAGGAAGUCGGGACGCUCAGACAGCCAGGAGGUUGGCUUAGAAGCAGCCAUCCUUUAAAGAAAGCGUAACAGCUCACUGGUCGAGCGGCUCGGUGCCGACAAUAUAACGGGGCUUAAGCAUGGUACCGAAGUUACGGAUUCGUAGCAAUACGAAUGGUAGGAGAGCGUUCUCAACAGCGUCGAAGGUCUAUCGAAAGAAGGGCUGGAGCGUUGAGAAGUGACUCUGCCAGCAUAAGUAGCGAGAAACCAGGUGCGAACCCUGGUCGCCGUAAGUCUAAGGAUUCCUGAGAAAGGUUAAUCCGCUCAGGGUUAGUCGGAGCCUAACGCGAGGCCGAAAGGCGUAGCGGAUGGACAGCAGGUUAAUAUUCCUGCACUACCUUAAACCGAUCAAGACCGAAGGGGGGACGCAGACCGUAAGCCCUGGUGCGCAAUGGUUUCAAUCCAGGGUGAAGGGAGAUCCGGACAGGCAAAUCCGCCGGGUCGUCUGCCAGGAAAAGCCUCUAAGGAGGAAUAGGGUAUCCGUACCACAAACCGACACAGGUGGACGAGAAGAAUAUUCUAAGGCGCUCGGGUGAUGGUAUGUUCAGGAACUAGGCACAUUAGCUCCGUAACUUCGGGAGAAGGAGUGCCCACCUAAGACGUGGGCCGCAGUGAAUAGUCUCAGGCGACUGUUUAACAAAAACACAGGUCUCUGCAAAGUCGAAAACGACGUAUAGGGGCUGACGCCUGCCCGGUGCCGGAAGGUUAAAGGGAGAGGUCAGCCGCAAGGCGAAGCUUUGAACUGAAGCCCCGGUGAACGGCGGCCGUAACUAUAACGGUCCUAAGGUAGCGAAAUUCCUUGUCGGGUAAGUUCCGACCUGCACGAAUGGCGUAACGAUCUGAGAACUGUCUUAACAUGCCGCCCGGCGAACUUGUGGUCCCGGUGAAGACGCCGGGUGCCCGCCACUAGACGGAAAGACCCCGUGCACCUUUACUAUACCCUUUCAUGGAACUAUGGGGCGGUCUGCGCAGGAUAGGUGGGAGGCUUAGAAUCCGGGUUCUCGGACUCGGAGGAGCCAACGGUGAGAUACCACCCUGAUCGUUCUGUGGUUCUAACCUCCACCCGUAAUCCGGGUGAGGGACAGUGGAAGGCGGGUAGUUUGACUGGGGCGGUCGCCUCCUAAACGGUAACGGAGGCGCGCGAAGCUUGGCUCAGGCGGCUUGGAAAUCCGCCGACGAGUGCAAAGGCAUAAGCCAGGUUAACUGCGAGACCAACAAGUCGAGCAGAUGCGAAAGCAGGCCUUAGUGAUCCGGUGGUUCUGUAUGGAAGGGCCAUCGCUCAACGGAUAAAAGGUACGCCGGGGAUAACAGGCUGAUCGGAGUCAAGAGUUCACAUCGACGCUCCGGUUUGGCACCUCGAUGUCGGCUCAUCGCAUCCUGGGGGUGUAGAAGCUCCCAAGGGUUAGGCUGUUCGCCUAUUAAAGCGGUACGUGAGCUGGGUUC
rnacentral:rRNA from 1 species